AGUGAACGCUGGCGGUAGGCCUAACACAUGCAAGUCGAACGUCAGCACAGUAAGAGCUUGCUCUUACGGGUGGCGAGUGGCGUACGGGUGAGGAAUACAUCGGAAUCUACUUUUUCGUGGUGGCUAACGUAGGGAAACUUACGCUAAUACCUCAUUCGACCUACGGUUGAAAGCAGGGGAUCUUCGUACCUUGCGCGAUUGAAUGAGCCGAUGUCGGAUUAGCUAGUUGGCGGGGUAAAGGCCCACCAAGGCGACGAUCCGUAGCUGGUCUGAGAGGAUGAUCAGCGACACUGGAACUGAGACAAGGUCCAUGCUUCUAGGGGAGGCAGCAGUGAGGAAUAUUCGACAAAGGGAGCGAGCCAGAUCCAACAAUACCGCGAGUGUGAAGAGGGCCUUCAGGUGGUAAAGCACUAUUGUUGGGAAAGAAAAGAAGCAGGUGAAUACCACGAUGGUCUGACGGUACCAAAUAAAUAAGAAAAAGCUAAAUUGGUG
rnacentral:rRNA from 1 species